rnacentral:rRNA from 1 species
CAAUAGCGUAUAUUAAAGUUGUUGCAGUUAAAAAGCUCGUAGUUGGAUUUCUGGGAGGGUGCCGCCGUCCGGCGUGUCCGUGUGCAGUGGCGCCCUUCCAUCCUUCUGUUAGCGUCUCUUGGCAUUCAUUUGCUGGUGGCGGGCUCAGAUAUUUUACCUUGAGAAAAUUAGAGUGUUUCAGGCAGGCUAGGCCGGAAUACAUUAGCAUGGAAUAAUGGAAUAGGACUACGGUCUCUUUGUUGGUUUGAGGGACUGCAGUAAUGAUUAAUAGGAAUAGUUGGGGGCAUUAGUAUUUAAUUGUCAGAGGUGGAAUUCUCAGAUUUGUUAAAGACUAACUUAUGCGAAAGCAUUUGCCAAGGAUGUUUUCAUUAA